UGGUCGAAGAGAGAGCGCUCCUGCUUCCAAAGCUUUCCCUUAAUGGAAAAAUGACAGAAAGCCUAGCUCUCGUCGCCGAACGCCGGUUCAGGAAACCCGAAAUUAAAGCCCGAACGCUUCCAAGAAACCCUAGCUGCCUCUGUAAAUGCUGAACGAAACCCAAAAAACCUGCCUCUGUAAAUGCUGAACGAUACUGGGAAGCUAGCUACCAUAUUCGAGUACCUUAUCUUCGUUACUAGGGAAGAUCGAAUCCCCUCCCCUCCUUCACGCUUCAGAACCGGAAGGGGAGGAGAGCGAAGAAGGGAAAAAGGAAACGGUACCUUUGUCGAGGGAGCAAGACUACCUCGGCCGCUGCGGUAGCAAGAGAUUCGCGAAGGAGAUGGCCGCCGUCUCUCGCUUCGCCGAUCUCGAUCACGCCCUCCAAUCCGCUUGAGAGAUUUGGUUCAACAAGAUCGAUGUGAAUGGAUGGCUUGAGGCCUUCGUCUCUCGUCCGGUGAUCGGCGCCGCAUCACCCUCCAUCUCCCAGUUCUGAAAUUUUUUGUGGAGUCGGUGGAGCAAGGAAGAGCAGUCCACUUCGCUAGCCACUGCUACCGAUUCCACUACUGAGGAAUUUGUCGAGUGGAAUGCUCGAUACAGAGCAAAGUUUGGAUUUGUGUUUCUGAUAUGUGCGUCCCGGAGGGGCACGCCGGCGAUCCUAGCUGAAUUGAAGGUUUACCCUAAUCAAGUGUUCAAAAUGGGUAGCUUUGGAUCAGAAUUUUGUAUUGGCACGAGAGGUAUUGGAAAUAAAAGGUAUAUAUGAUUUACUCUUUUUUUUUAUUUCAUUAUAUGUUUUGGGUAAUAUGUCACUGUAAUAUCGCUUUAUGUGCAUGGAAAAGAUAAAAAAUUUGUUGACUAAAGUAUUGAAUAGCAAGGAGUUAAAGAAAUUGUAUGACGAGUAUAAGCUUGAAAUGAGAAAAUAGUUCUAUAUCUUCUCAUUAUGCUAGUUAACUUAGAUUUAUAGGUUCUAUUUAGGUGAGAUAGUUGUUUAUUCUAAUGCCUAAAUAAUCUUAUUCUUUUUUUUUGACCAUAAAACAUCGAAGAAAAUGUUUCAGCCACACUGAAUUCGCAACCAAUAAAUUGCAAUAGUUAUACUCUUUAAGUCUUCUAAAAUUGAUGUAUGAUGAUAUAGUUUUUCCUCUAUUGUUUGUGUUCAAUAUAUAAUGUAGGUCUGAAGAGUUAGGCCGACCAAUUUUGGAAGUGAAAGUUAGAUCAAAGCAACCAUCAGAUCUUAUGACAAAGGAAUGGCAAAAGAAAAAUAUUAUGCUAGGGAAAAGCUUUAGAUCAGUUGGUUUCUUUUGAAUUCUUAUAUUUAUGAUGUAACUCAAUCUAAAAUAUGAUUUUAUAAUAUUUUUUUAAUAUUGGAUGAUGUUAAAAGAAUAUAUCGAGAAGGAGAAAAUUUUUUGAGAUUAUAAAUGAAAUGAAGGAGAAUUUAUUAAAGAUUUCAUCAAUAUCAUAAGGUGAGUAUAAUUUUUAUAAUUUACUUUAUUAGCCUAUACUUUUUUGGUUUGAGUUGAGUUUUAAUAAUUUACUAAAAAUAUUUUUUUUAGAGAUGUUAUUAGAGGAUUGCAUGAUCUUCACAUGAAACUCUAUUCACAUCAAAGCUUGGAAUUUUUAAACAUACUUUUGAUGAAAUCAGAAGGACAAUUCGGAACAAAGAUCAGGGCUAUGUUAGCAGAAUCUAAGAAUAAAAAAAAGUAGUAAGAAAUUUUUAUCAAUUCGAAAUAUUUUUGUAGAAAAUUAGUUUUAUGACUUAUGAAACUUUUUUUUUUCUUAAGAUUACAAAACAAUGAUUUGGUCGAUCUUGGAGUGUUCUGAUAGAAUUUUGUUAAUUUUUUAUAUACUGAACGCCUUAGAAAUAUCAGAAACCAACAAGAUGAGUUGUAUUUUAUUUGUCAAUUUUAUUUAAAAAUUAAAUAUAUAUGUUUCUAAAUUUAUUUUCUGGUGUAACUUUUUUAUGGUGCAAUAAAGAGUUACUAUAUCUUUUUUUAGAUAAUAGAAAGAUGGAUAUCGUUUAUCAAAUAUUUGAACAAAAGAUUGAAAAUGAGGUAGUUAAACUUGGAAACUCAUAAUAGAGCUAUUUUUAAUUCAAAACAGUGGACAACAGAAUUUAGCCAUACAUUAAUAUUCUAACGAGCUAGCAUCAAUGGGAUCCCAUGAAAUUUUUCUACGAUCUAUAUAUACAGUCUUUUAUUAUAUUUUUAAGAAAUAUUUAUGAGUAUGAUAAUGAGAACAUGCAACUUUUGCUACAUUUUGUUAUAUUGUUAUAUUAAUUGGUCUUGUUUUAUUAUAUCAUGUUUUUACAGCAAAGUCUCAUCUUAUUUGUGUGCAGAGAGUUUAAAUCAUUUUAUUAGAAACAAGUUUUCUUUCAUCGUUGUUAACAUCAAAAAAGCAAUACCAUCUUCACAUUAAUGCGUAUUAUUAAUGAUUUCAAAGGUGAAGUAUAUGUUAUAUGAUCAUUUUUUAUGUUCACUCAGAUUUCUAUCAAUGAUGACAUCUUCUCAUGUUGAAUAAAAUUAUUACAGUUGCUUGCAGAUUAACAUCAUUAUCAUUGGAUGCUGGAGUAUUUGGAUUUCUAUCUCUCAUUUUUUUCACUUGUCCAUCAUUUACUGUAUAUGCUUUUCAAUGGAAUAGUUAUGUUUUUAGCAUUUAUUGUAUUUAUUUUUUGUGUUCAGUAGAAUAUUCUCACCACUUGAUGUUUUGAUUAUAUUUGUAUAUCUUUUAAGUUUGAAACAUCUCAAUUGUAUAUUUUUAAAUGUCAGGGUGUUUCUUUUAUAUGUUGUAAUUCUCAGACUUUGUAAUCUCAUUUAAUAUUAAGCUUUGAGCUGCUGUGUCUAUCAAUAAUAAUAAUAAUAAUAAUAAUAAUAAACUACUUUGCUUCAUCUCAUCAUACCGUAGGGCCAUUGGUCAUUCCCCUUGGGUUUUUCCCGUAUUGGGUGCUGAAUUUCUGUAAAAGGACAAACAGAAAACUGUGACGUGAUGAGGUUUCAAAUUGGUUAAAUGAUUAUUGAAUGCUCUUUAAUCCUUGUCUAAACAAUUUUAUGCAUUCAAACAUACAAAAAUGGUUUGGUGGUUAAAAAUUCUCUUGUAUAUGUUAUAACAAACUAAUUAAAUUUAAUAAAUUAUAAAAUUUAGACACUUAUUGAAAUUGUUUAUGACAAUAAAAUAAUUAUAUUUUUUUAAACUCUAAGAGGAAAUUUAGGAUGAAAAAUUAGGAAAAAAAAUGACUAUGCAUGCAUGGAUAUGUACAUACAUACGUAAUGCAUGUAUGCAUGCACACGUGCAUAAAUACAUACCAAUGCUUCCUAGUCAAGAAGAAUGGGCCUUUCAAAAUGAAAAUUAGCAUUGUUAGUGACAAUCUUAGACAUGCAAAAUACUUGAUAAAUAGUUUUUGUUUUUUGGGUCCAUUGCCUUGUUUCAUAUUGAGAAAAAACAAUAUAUGAGAAAUCUAUCUAACAAGCAAAAGUAAUGGUUUGUCAUUUGGUCGGUAUCAGUAUGUAUUGAUCAAUAUCAUACCCUAUCAAUACCGAACCAGUAUAUGAUAUGGGGGGCUAUCGAUUGUUAGUAUGUUAAAUCGGUCAUUAUAUCGGAUGUAUCAAUACUGUAAUAGAAUGGUAAUGAUAUGAGAUUCAACAUGAUAAAUUUGAUAUAAAUUAUAUAAUUUGUAAUUUCAAAUAAAUAUCUUGAUCUAAAUAUUUUAAAGAUAUCCAGAACAAAUGUCAACUAAUUUGGAUGCUUCUAAAUAAGUCAUUUACCUUUUUGAAGGCAUAAUUCUGUCUUCACGCAUUAGCUAUAGAAAUUAGGUACAUAUUUCAAUCGAAUACUUUUGACUCCAUUGAUGUAUUGCAUAGUCGUGGUGGUUCUCAAACUCUGCUUUGGCGAUUGCCUAGUGUUUUGAUUAUUUCAAGAUAUAACAAGUGGUUUCUUUCCUUCUUUUGAUUUUCUUAAAAAAAUAUUCAAGUGAUGGAAGUGGUAUACUACAUAGGCAGAAGCAUACAAUAAAUAAUAUUAUUUCCAUCAAGGAUUCUAGUCACGAUCUUGUUUAUCGUCGCAUCUUGAUAAAUAUAUUUCAAUUUUUAAUUCAUGCAAACUUAUUUUUCUCUUUCCAAUGCUGUCUUUAGAAAAAAAUUAUUCUAUUUUAUGUUUUUGCAAGAGGAGUGUAUUUCAAAACUGAGAGCCCCAAGGUCUCCUGCACAAUCAGUGGGACCAUUGUAUCAUAUGUGGCAGAGAUGGUUGUAGUUAUUAUCGUUAUGAAGGAAGAAGAAUAUAAGUAAUUGAAAUGAGGGAUAUCUCAGUGUAAUUAUGAAUGGUGAAUGGAUUGUUGAUUCUGAUGCAGGAGGAGCAUGACUUCUGCAUUACUAGGUUAGUGCAAAAAAAUAAAUAAACUUCUUCUAUUCAUUCUUU